UACGGAGGGUGCGAGCGUUAAUCGGAAUUACUGGGCGUAAAGCGCGCGUAGGUGGUUUGAUAAGUGGGAUGUGAAAGCCCCGGGCUUAACCUGGGAACUGCAUUCCAAACUGUCAGGCUAGAGUAUGAGAGAGGGAGGUAGAAUUUCCGGUGUAGCGGUGAAAUGCGUAGAUAUUGGAAAGAACACCGAUGGCGAAGGCACUUUACUGGGCUAUUACUGACACUCAGAGACGAAAGCUAGGGUAGCAAAUGGG
rnacentral:rRNA from 1 species